AUCAGUGACUUUGUAGUUGUUAAUUAAAAUUUGCAUUUGCCAUUUAUUUGUUUUGUUCUUUGCUCUUUGGUGUUUAUAAAAAAAAUAAAAACCAGAUGCAUUUUACUUCCGUGACGCUACAAGGUGCUGCACUCGAAGACAAAACAAGGUCGACUAAGGUACGGUAAUUGUUCGUUUGCCACAUGGAUCAAAAGAAUACUUUAAUAACGUGGAAGUAUUUCAAAUGACACUCCCUCGACAACUCAUUACUUUAAUACUUGUUUGGACAUCAAUCAUCUUUAAAUGACUCCACACAGCUUGAAACAUUAAUCUCAUCUGUACCGUUGUAAAUCAAGCAAAAGUAAAUAUUCCAGAAAGGUACUGGGUUUUUUUUUUGUUUCGUUUUUUUUUUUUUAAAGAUAGGAUUAUUUCUGUGUAAAUUAUUAAUAGUUGGUUCAAGGUAAAUUUCUUUGAUGUUUAAUUGAGCAGGUCAGCCCUAGCGUAGGACCCCCGUCUGAUGUGCUUCCCCCGCCCGGAGGCUCAGAGGAUUAUGUUGAUUUUUUUUAAUCAAUAUUUCAGCGCUUAUAUUAACAUGAUCCUCCUUCAAUGCUGUUCGCAGAGGGAAAGGUCACGUGAUGUGUGGGGACAUCCUACGAGGGGGCUCUCUUCCUGAGGACGGCAUAUGCAUGCACGGUGCAAAAUCGAUUCAUGGAAUAUUCAUUGCUCGUUGAUCACCAUAGGAAAAAUGCGUCACACUUCAUCUGCAUUUGAAUGUGCUGCUCUGCCUCCUGCAGGGUUUUUAGGGAGUGCCAAGAAACGUGACUCAGUAGAGAGCAGACCUCUGCCAAUGUUGAGCUCUUGAGCUUUGUUUGUCCAUGUGUUAGUUAUCUAUUUUGUUACUUAGUUACACCAAACCACUGCCACCUAACUCCAACACAAAUACUAAAUCCUAACCCUAACCUUAACACCUAACCUAAGCCCAAAACAUAAUAUUGACAUAAUCAUACUUUCCCCCCCCCCCCCCCCCUCUUGUUUACGAUGCUUCACCGACGACCACGAGGAAGUUGAGGUGGCCGAGAAGAAGGCCGUCUGCCUUGCCUCCGACACGGAGCCGCUCGACGUUCCCUCGGCGAAGAAUGCGUCCCAGAGGAGAUAUGGAGAAGGACUAAAGUGAAGUAAACCGCAACAGCCAAGGCGAAUGACGCCAGGCACGCCGUGAUUGCGAGAUUACCUUUUCGGCGUCCUCAUACUGGUCAGUGGCGACUUCAAUCAUGUUCCUCUCUCUCAUCUACUAACAACUUCACACAACAUGUGUGUAGACCAGGGGUGUCAAACUCAUUUUUGUCACGGGCCACAUCGUACUCGUGACUUCCCUCGGCGGUCCGCUACAACUGUGAACCCAUAUAAAUGAAAGAUUACCUCAUAUACUGUAAUCACAUACAGUAUACACAGCACAUUGAUGAAUAGCCAGUUUUGAAAUCAGAAGCCUAUAAAAACAUGUUUUUCAACUAUUACAUUUCUGUUCAAAGGGGGAUUGGUAACAAAAACACGCUUGCAAAUAUCUCAAUGGCAUUACACCAGAACACAAUGAGCAAUUUUCAUUUGCUUUCGCGGGCCACAUGAAAUGAUGUGGCGUGCCGGAUCUGGCCCCCCGGGCCACCAG